CGUAUGGACGAGUUAACGGGGAUAAAAACGGGGCCAGGAAAAGUCUGUUUAGACUAUCCUGUUUUAAUGAGGAAAAGUUUUAUUUCCUUUUCCUUUUACUUUUUUUUUUCUUAUUCUCACUUACGCAUCCGAGCCGCACCCUUUCUCCUCGCGCCGACGCCUCUCCCUCGUGCCCGACUGCUUGCCCUAACCGGCGCCACACGCGGCGGUUAUCUCCUCGUCCGAACAACAGCCGUGCCCCACCUCUUCUCUGAUCCUUCUCCUCGCCACUGCCCGAAGCCCUCCUCUGCCGCCACCACAGCAACGUCGACCUUCUCAACGCCGAGCUCUGCACAACACCACCGCCGACGCUCUCCCUUCUUCCUCCUUGUCCAAGCGUCGGGGACACGCGAGCACAGCCGAGCAUAGCCCUACUCUUUGCUCUAGCGCUGUCCUCCUUCCUUCUCGUCUCUGCCUGACGACGCCACCCGAGCCCUCACGGCGAAUUUUUGCCCUAGCCGACGUUGUGACCUAGUUUGUGUUCACCGCCGACUCUCCUUCACUCUGCCCUAGCGAUGGCAGACGACCGCCCCUCUGUUGACCUCACGCCUCGGCACUGGUUGCUGACCACCAGGUUCUGCCGAGCCCUAGUCUUGAUCUUCUUCUUGAUUCCUUUGAUUCCAACACUGUGGGUUUGUUCUGCCAGGAUUUUGUGUUGUGGUAUGCUACUGUAAGGAUUUCCAAUUUGUUAGAUUUAGAAUUUGUCUUCCAAUUUGGCAGUAGACAGUUGGUCUGAAGAUUGCUGGGUUCUGGCAUUUCCGUCGUGGAUCAGGUCUAUUGCCUUCAUAGACGGCUGAAAGAAAGUUAGAGGUUGAUGCUGUCAGGAGGCAGUUCCAGUCGCUAGUCCCCACAGAACGUAGUGUUAGUCUUCUGCAGACCACGAGUUGUUAUUUUAGUUUUCUCUAUCAGACUAUGUUUUGGUCUUGUAAUGAUUUAGUUAUGGAUCUUGUAUGGAUUCUUAUCGUUGAUGGAUUUUGGUAUGAUUUGGAUA